GAAACCAACAGGGAUUGCCCCAGUAACGGCGAGUGAAGCGGCAAAAGCUCAAAUUUGAAAUCUGGCUCCUUUCGGGGUCCGAGUUGUAAUUUGCAGAGGAUGCUUUGGGUGUGUCUGCGGCGUAAGUCCCUUGGAACAGGGCGUCAUAGAGGGUGAGAAUCCCGUCUUGAGUCGCCAGGCGCGCCCGUUUAAAGCUCCUUCGACGAGUCGAGUUGUUUGGGAAUGCAGCUCUAAGUGGGUGGUAAAUUUCAUCUAAAGCUAAAUAUUGGCCGGAGACCGAUAGCGAACAAGUAGAGUGAUCGAAAGGUUAAAAGCACCUUGAAAAGGGAGUUAAAUAGCACGUGAAAUUGUUGAAAGGGAAGCGCUUGCAGCCAGACUCGAGCGCGGAGGCUCAGCGGGCAUGUUAUGCCUGUGCACUCCUUCGCGCCCGGGCCAGCAUCAGUUCUUGCGGCCGGUCAAAGGCCCCUGGAAUGUGUCGUCCUCCGGGACGUCUUAUAGCCAGGGGUGCAAUGCGGCCAGCGGGGACUGAGGAACGCGCUUCGGCACGGAUGCUGGCAUAAUGGCUGUAAGCGGCCCGUCUUGAAACACGGACCAAGGAGUCUAACAUCCACGCGAGUGUUCGGGUGUCAAACCCGUACGCGCAGUGAAAGCGAACGGAGGUGAGAGCCCGCAAGGGUGCAUCAUCGACCGAUCCUGAAGUCUUCGGAUGGAUUUGAGUAAGAGCGUGGCUGUUGGGACCCGAAAGAUGGUGAACUAUGCCUGAAUAGGGUGAAGCCAGAGGAAACUCUGGUGGAGGCUCGCAGCGGUUCUGACGUGCAAAUCGAUCGUCAAAUUUGGGUAUAGGGGCGAAAGACUAAUCGAACCAUCUGGUAGCUGGUUCCUGCCGAAGUUUCCCUCAGGAUAGCAGUAACGUUUCAGUUUUAUGAGGUAAAGCGAAUGAUUA
rnacentral:rRNA from 2 species